rnacentral:tRNA from 1 species
GUAGCUCAGUGGUAGAGUGCUUGCCUUGCAUGCAUAAGGCCCUGGGUUCAAUUCCUCAGC